rnacentral:lncRNA from 1 species
UUUCUUGCAAAUACCCCUUCCAAUAUCCAUCCUUUCAUAAAGAAAGUUUGUUCGCUUGGAGUUAUUUAUCUUCUUUAUCUGACUUCUCCUUUUGACUACAAUAGUCAUGGUCCCUAAACUCCCACUAUCUCUCUUGAAACCUUUUUCAAUUGUGUUAUACACAUCAAACAAUUUUGGAGAGCAUGUGGUUAUUGUUCACUACAUAGUUUACAAUAAACUUAGUGAACCAUUAGGAUAGGGACAC